GACGAACGCUGGCGGCGUGCCUAAUACAUGCAAGUCGAACGCUUCUUUUUCCACCGGAGCUUGCUCCACCGGAAAAGAGGAGUGGCGAACGGGUGAGUAACACGUGGGUAACCUGCCCAUCAGAAGGGGAUAACACUUGGAAACAGGUGCUAAUACCGUAUAACAAUCGAAACCGCAUGGUUUUGAUUUGAAAGGCGCUUUCGGGUGUCGCUGAUGGAUGGACCCGCGGUGCAUUAGCUAGUUGGUGAGGUAACGGCUCACCAAGGCGACGAUGCAUAGCCGACCUGAGAGGGUGAUCGGCCACAUUGGGACUGAGACACGGCCCAAACUCCUACGGGAGGCAGCAGUAGGGAAUCUUCGGCAAUGGACGAAAGUCUGACCGAGCAACGCCGCGUGAGUGAAGAAGGUUUUCGGAUCGUAAAACUCUGUUGUUAGAGAAGAACAAGGAUGAGAGUAACUGUUCAUCCCUUGACGGUAUCUAACCAGAAAGCCACGGCUAACUACGUGCCAGCA
rnacentral:rRNA from 1 species